rfam:Colletotrichum gloeosporioides Nara gc5 unplaced genomic scaffold scaffold282, whole genome shotgun sequence.
ACAUACGACCAUACCCAUUGGAAAACUCGGGAUCCCGUCCGCUCUCCCCCAGAUAAACCAAUGAGGGCUGGAGUAGUAGUCGGGUCGGUGACGACCGGCGAAUGCCCGGUGUUGUAUGUU